rnacentral:rRNA from 1 species
GAUGAACGCUAGCGGCAGGCUUAACACAUGCAAGUCGAGGGGCAGCAUGAAGGUUAGCAAUAACCUUUGAUGGCGACCGGCGCAAGGGUGCGUAACGCGUGAGCAACUUGCCCGUUUCAGGGGGAUAACCGGUGGAAACGCCGACUAAUACCCCAUGGCAUCAUUAGGAGGCAUCUCCUUCUGAUUAAAGAAUUUCGGAAACGGAUAGGCUCGCGUGACAUUAGCUAGAUGGCGGGGUAACGGCCCACCAUGGCGACGAUGUCUAGGGGUUCUGAGAGGAAGGUCCCCCACACUGGAACUGAGACACGGUCCAGACUCCUACGGGAGGCAGCAGUGAGGAAUAUUGGUCAAUGGACGGAAGUCUGAACCAGCCAUGCCGCGUGCAGGAUGACUGCCUUAUGGGUUGUAAACUGCUUUUAAUCAGGAAGAAAUGUGCCCACGAGUUGGGUACUUGACGGUACUGUUUGAAUAAGGAUCGGCUAACUCCGUGCCAG